rnacentral:tRNA from 1 species
GCAAAUAUGGAUUCAAGAUUCAUUAUCUGCCUUCUAAACAGAGGAUAUGAGUUCGAUUUUCGUUAUCCGCA